UACGUAGGGAGCAAGCGUUAUCCGGAUUUACUGGGUGUAAAGGGCGCGCAGGCGGGCCGGCAAGUUGGAAGUGAAAUCCGGGGGCUUAACCCCCGAACUGCUUUCAAAACUGCUGGUCUUGAGUGAUGGAGAGGCAGGCGGAAUUCCGUGUGUAGCGGUGAAAUGCGUAGAUAUACGGAGGAACACCAGUGGCGAAGGCGGACUGCUGGACAUUAACUGACGCUGAGGCGCGAAAGCGUGGGGAGCAAACAGG
rnacentral:rRNA from 1 species